rnacentral:rRNA from 1 species
UACGUAGGUGGCAAGCGUUAUCCGGAUUUAUUGGGCGUAAAGCGAGCGCAGGUGGUUUAUUAAGUCUGGUGUAAAAGGCAGUGGCUCAACCAUUGUAUGCAUUGGAAACUGGUAGACUUGAGUGCAGGAGAGGAGAGUGGAAUUCCAUGUGUAGCGGUGAAAUGCGUAGAUAUAUGGAAGAACACCAGUGGCGAAAGCGGCUCUCUGGUCUGUAACUGACGCUGAGGUUCGAAAGCGUGGGUAGCAAACAGG